AAUAAUAAUUGUGUAAUUUUUAUUUCAGUUAGUGAUUCCAGAAUAUAUUUUACAUUUCUUCUCCAAUUUGCUGUUUUUGUUUGGAGGCCAGUGGUUAUCCAUUGCUAUAAAUGUUCCAUUAAUGGCUUAUCAUAUUUCAAAGUAUCGAAAUAGACCAGCUAUGUCUGGCUUUGGUCUCUAUGAUCCAACAAGUAUUAUGAAUGCCGAUAAACUAAAUAAAUAUCAACGUGAAGGUUGGAUAAAAUUGGCAUUUUAUUUGUUCUCAUUUUUUUACUACUUAUAUGGAAUGAUAAGAGCAUUAAUCACAGUUUAAAUCUAAGAUGCUCGGAAGUCUGAACAUUCAUCUUGUACAACUAUAAUAGCUUAAAAGUUAAAUAUAACUAUGGGCAGGUGGAACAAUAAUCACCAGAUUGAAUAGCCCCAACAUUUUUAAUUAUUUCAGUAAAUAUGUAUGUUUCUGGCAAUCUGGAAUAUUGGAACUGUGCAUAAAAUAAUUAACAAUUAAGUUAACUGUGUUAAAAAAAUUAUAAAUGAUACUUUUAUUUAA